rnacentral:misc_RNA from 1 species
AACGAGGCCGACCUGCGGCUGAGUUACCUGCGGAGGGAUCAUUAUCGAGUGGUCUUAAUGACCUUCGACCCACCAAAUCCUGUGGCAGCACAUCGUGCUUUGGCGCGCCCGCGCCAUAUUCAUGCAAGCCGUCUGCUUUGUGUCUGACUCGAACGAAGCAUCAAAACUUUUAACAAUGGAUCU